rnacentral:misc_RNA from 1 species
GAAAUGCGAUAAGUAAUGUGAAUUGCAGAAUUCAGUGAAUCAUCGAAUCUUUGAACGCACCUUGCGCUCCUUGGUAUUCCUUGGAGCAUGCCUGUUUGAGUAUCAUGAAAUCUUCAAAGUAAAUCUUUUGUUAACUCAAUUGGUUUCUACUUUGGUAUUGGAGGUCUUUGCAGCUUCACACCUGCUCCUCUUUGUUCAUUAGCUGGAUCUCAGUGUUAUGCUUGGUUCCACUCGGCGUGAUAAGUUAUCUAUCGCUGAGGACACUGUACAAGGUGGCCAAGGUAAAUGCAGAUGAACCGCUUCUAAUAGUCCAUUGACUUGGACAAUACUUUUAUGAUCUGAUCUCAAAUCAGGUAGUACUACCCGCUGAACUUAAGC